CUUGCACCGGUGGGGUCCCUCAGCCUGGCCUGUGCCCUCUUGCAAUCUGGAACCCCCCGGGGUAUGUCAGAGAACUGGUUUUGGCCCGAUCCCAUAGGCCAGGCUGAGGGACCCCACUGGUGCACA
rnacentral:pre_miRNA from 1 species